AUACUUUUCCGGGUUGGUGGUUGAACUUCGAUUUUAAGCAUUUAAAUAAGAUAAAUCUGUUCAUUCUUCGACCCAAAAAGUUC
rfam:Drosophila simulans chromosome X, whole genome shotgun sequence.